rnacentral:rRNA from 1 species
ACUGGAGAUGGCGACCGGCGCACGGGUGAGUAACACGUAUCCAACCUGCCGAUAACUCGGGGAUAGCCUUUCGAAAGAAAGAUUAAUACCCGAUGGCAUAAUAGAACCGCAUGGUUUGAUUAUUAAAGAAUUUCGGUUAUCGAUGGGGAUGCGUUCCAUUAGGCAGUUGGUGGGGUAACGGCCCACCAAACCUUCGAUGGAUAGGGGUUCUGAGAGGAAGGUCCCCCACCAUUGGAACUGAGACACGGUCCAAACUCCUACGGGAGGCAGCAUG